rnacentral:lncRNA from 12 species
AUGUGCAGGCUUGUGCUGUUUCAUCUGAAGUGUGAUAAGACACCAAGUCUGAAAUCUGGAGCAGCUCUGUGGGAACCAUACAUGAGCUUUUGCAGAAGAAUUUCCCCAAAGGCAAACCUAGAAACUUCAAUCACUACUCAGGGAUGCUUUGGCAUGCCUCUGCCUCUGAGCCAAGAAUGUUUCAGAGAUAACCACACAAGGCAGCCCAGCCACCCCCUCCCCUGUGGUUCCCAAAUGGUGAGGAGCAGCAGUUUCUCACCCUCUGCAGCUGCAGAUACCAAGGCCGGGGGACAGAUGAGCCACACACUUGCUUACUCUGUGAGAAGCUGUUUCCACCCCCAGGCCCACUGUGUUUUAACAAGGGCUGGGCUACCAGGCUUUGAAAGUGAGCCUGAAAGUUUCUGUUGGCCUGGAAGUGCUGGCUGGGUCUGGCCCUUCGUGAGAGGAGGAUAUGGGUUGAGUGAUGAAGGCCACAUGCAGAGCUUACACAGCUACCCCUGGCCUCGACAUGGGCUUCUGGUCUCCUACUACAUGCCAGGCCCACUGAGAGGAGGGUACUUGCCCGAGAUCCCACAGCUGCCAUGUUCACACUCAACUCAGUGCUGUCUGACUCCCCUGCUGAGCUCCACACAAGAUGACUGCCAUCUGCUCACGUGUCACACAGGGCCUUUCACACACCAGCCGCUGACAGCCUUGCUCACUGACAGGGAUGACGCCAAAGCUCUGGGAACAUUAACCUGGAUGUAG